rnacentral:lncRNA from 1 species
AUGCAAGGACUCAAAAUGGAUGCCAAGAAGGGGGGAGGUUUGCCUUCUCCACCCCUCCUGACUAAUGACAAUUAUUCAUCUUGGUCUGUAAAGAUGAAGGCCCUGCUGCAGAAUCAGAGACUGUUUGGGGUGAUUGAGAAUCCCAUCCCAGCAGCACCAACGCGUGCUUGGGAGUCACAGAAUGUGAAGGCAAGGACUGCUAUAAUUCUGUGUGUGUCAGACUCGCAGCUUGUGCAUAUACAGCAUUUGGAAUUUGCGAAAGAGGUUUGGGAUACGCUGCGUACAACGCAUCAGAGAGAUGCCGGUUCUUCAGCGUUGCUGUAUUUUGAGAAGUUGACCAAUCUGAGAUUAGCGCCUGAUGGAGAUGUUCAAGCGCACCUGACAGAGAUGAAGUUUCUGCGUCAACAGAUGGUGGAACGCAAUUUUCGUCUACAGGAGGAAGUGUUUUGCUUCAUGAUGAUAAAUAGCCUGAACCGGACUUACAAGGUUGUUGCCAGUCAGCUUGGUUCGCUACCGGCUCAAGACCUGACUUCGGAGAGAGUGUGUGCCGUGGUCCUGAACGAACACGACAGACUUGCUGCACUGGAAGUGAAAGACAGAGGGAGGCAAGAACAGAGUUCAAAUCUUCCCACUACUGCAAGCAUUGAUACUUUAGGGGGAGUAUGUUACCAUAAAGCACCAAUGCUGCAGCAAGCAAAGGCUCCAGCAGCUCAGUCUGCUGCUUGUGGCUGGAAAGCCAGACAGGAUGUUUGUGACUGUUGCCAUGGAAACAAAGGGGCAGUCCAUUCUGUACUGAGCACCGGAUGUUAGCUCAGUGUGUGUGUCAUAUGACCCGUACUGGAAGUACAUGGGUGGAGUUUCUUCUUGCUGUUGUCGAGUGCAGACAUGUUUCUCUGUACUGAUAUGAGAGACAGAAAUAAAAGAUGUAAAUAGUUUUCUGUCUGCUUCUUUCCCCUCCCUGGGGGACACCAAAGGGGAGAGAGGAAGAACGGUGUGUUCCUCUCACACAUCUGAGAAGAAUCGCCGAGACCUCGCCUGCUUAUCAGCAGAGUGGAGAUGCGGGGAGGUCGACAGGAAUAUCUGCCGGUGCCUACGCUGUGGCACAUUCCUCUGACCCAGGCAGAAUUCCAACACCCUGCCCUUCCUGGCCAGGGCCAGGUUCAGGGUGGCUAACACCAAAUAGAAAUUCCAUU